GGCUAGUUAGCUCAGUUGGUUAGAGCGUGGUGCUAUGACCACCAAGGUCAAGAGUUCGGAUCCCCAUACUAGCCA